rnacentral:rRNA from 1 species
AUUGAACGCUGGCGGCAGGCCUAACACAUGCAAGUCGAGCGAGCGGCGGAUGGGUGAGUACUGGGUGGGAAACUGCUUGAUGGAGGGGGAUAACUACUGGAAACGGUAGCUACUACUGCAUACCAUCAGAUGUGCCCCGAUGGGAUUAGCUAGUGGGUGGGGUAACGGCUCACCAAGGCGACGAUCCCUAGCUGGUCUGAGAGGAUGACCAGCCACACUGGAACUGAGACACGGUCCAGACUCCUACGGGAGGCAGCAGGGGGGAAUAUUGGACAAUGGGCGAAAGCCUGAUGCAGCCAUGCCGCGUGUGUGAAGAAGGCCUUCGGAUUGUAAAGCACUUUAAGCGGGGAGGCGUUACCCGCAGAAGAAGCACCGGCUAACUCCGUGCCAGCAGCCGCGGUAAUAC